rnacentral:rRNA from 1 species
CCAGCGAUGGCAAGCAAACCCAAAAAGCAGUCACAGUUCGGAUUGAAGGCUGAAAUUCGCCUUCAUGAAGCCGGAAUUGCUAGUAAUGGCAGGUCAGCAUACUGCCGUGAAUACGUUCCCGGGCCUUGUACACACCGCCCGUCACACCAUGAGAGUUGGGGAUACCCGAAGCCUGUGAGCCAACAGUUAAUGAGGCAGCAGUCGAAGAUAGAAUCAAUGAUUGGGGUGAAGUCGUAACAAGGUAAC